UACGAAGGGGGCUAGCGUUGCUCGGAAUCACUGGGCGUAAAGGGCGCGUAGGCGGCCAUUCAAGUCGGAGGUGAAAGCCCAGGGCUCAACCCUGGAAUUGCCUUCGAUACUGUUUGGCUAGAGACCGGAAGAGGUAAGUGGAACUGCGAGUGUAGAGGUGAAAUUCGUAGAUAUUCGCAAGAACACCCGUGGCGAAAGCGGCUCUCUGGGACGGUACUGACGCUGAGACGCGAAAGCGUGGGGAGCGAACAGG
rnacentral:rRNA from 1 species